rnacentral:rRNA from 1 species
UGGGGAAUAUUGCACAAUGGGCGCAAGCCUGAUGCAGCCAUGCCGCGUGUAUGAAGAAGGCCUUCGGGUUGUAAAGUACUUUCAGCGGGGAGGAAGGUGUUGAGGUUAAUAACCUCAGCAAUUGACGUUACCCGCAGAAGAAGCACCGGCUAACUCCGUGCCAGCAGCCGCGGUAAUACGGAGGGUGCAAGCGUUAAUCGGAAUUACUGGGCGUAAAGCGCACGCAGGCGGUCUGUAAAGUCGGAUGUGAAAGCCCCGGGCUCAACCUGGGAACUGCAUUCGAAACUGGCAGGCUAGAGUCUUGUAGAGGGGGGUAGAAUUCCAGGUGUAGCGGUGAAAUGCGUAGAGAUCUGGAGGAAUACCGGUGGCGAAGGCGGCCCCCUGGACAAAGACUGACGCUCAGGUGCGAAAGCGUGGGGAGCAAACA